rnacentral:rRNA from 1 species
ACGUAGGGGGCGAGCGUUAUCCGGAUUCAUUGGGCGUAAAGCGCGCGCAGGCGGCGCACCAGGCGGGAUCUCGAAACCGGGGGCUCAACCUCCGGGCGGAUCCCGAACCGGUGUGCUCGAGUGCGGUAGAGGAAGUCGGAAUUCCCGGUGUAGCGGUGAAAUGCGCAGAUAUCGGGAAGAACACCGAUGGCGAAGGCAGACUUCUGGGCCGACACUGACGCUCAGGCGCGAAAGCUGGGGGAGCGAACAG